UACGCAGACCCUGGACAGACAAGGCUGCUAAGAUGUGCUGUGCCAACAGUUUCCAUCUUUGGCGAUGGGCAGACACACGUCGAAAGUCCAGGCUCUCCUCGGCCCGCGAAUACCACUGCAAUGCCCGCUCACAGCGCCGAUGAAGAAGUUCAACAGACUUAGCCCUCAUGUUCCAAUCCAGCGGGUCGACAACACAAGCCUUCUAGGUGCUCGCCCCAGACAGCCAGAAAAAUGAAGAACC